ensembl:lncRNA
UCCUAAUAUACUUUAAUCACUUAAAUUAAGCUUCAUUAACUGGCCAGAGGGGGCUGAGUCGGCCUAACACGGGCCAGACCUCACUCCAUUUACAAUCUGCAGAGCCACCAGGGUUGGGGGAGGCACAGGAAAUAUUGUUUCCCCUACAAAUAAUUGUAAGUUUUUUGACCCAGAUGUAUAUGAGUUACAUAACACAGAAAAGAGAGACAGGGUGCUUGCACACAUGCACGGUACGUGUGUUUAGCAGACAUGGUUAUAUGCAUUAGAUCAACGUGGUCCCGUUGUCUUAUACGUUGGAAAAAAAAGGACAUGUAACAUGUAAUGAAAUCAGGAAAAGUGAAUAACUGAAUAAGGGAACUUUUGAGCGACGCAACAGCGAUAUUAUCCCGCUUUUCCUUCUGUCUUUCCGGGUGCGUGGGGGUCUGUGUGUGUGUUAACCUCGCUUUUGUAGUCUGAAGUCCCCAGCGCGAGUCCUAAGCCGCAGCAGACCUGUGGUCCAGAGAAAGGCCUCUUUGUGUCACUACGGGACCGAUUGGCCACUUCUGCACUCUUGGCUCCCCCUCAAGUCCUGGCCGACAUCCAGAUCCCAGAACCAGGGCAGACUUUGCAUCUCUGUAGUGCAUCCCAGACAAAGAGUCUCUACAGUGGCUGACUCCUCCGGUUGGCAAGAAGUCCCACGAGUGAACGGAAGUAUUGUAGCCGAGGAGGAGCGGCGCCGCAUGGGGCUCUGGCAGUGGUGGCGACCGUUUAAUCACAACGUAACCUGCUUCGUCAACUAUUUUACUCUGUUCACUGAGUCAGAGAAUGGAAAUUUUGAGGUCGACUGGUGUUGCCUGUUCCGGACAGUUCCGAGCACAAAGUUCUAGAGCGAGGGAUGGGCGGCGGGUCCGGGAGAGAAGUCGCAGGGGAAAUUUAGAUAUUUAUCAGGCAAUGAGGGAGCUUCAAAACGGCUCCCAUGUGUUCUUUAUUUCAGCUGGGGUUUGAUGGCAAAUGGAGCGAGGCAAGAGCUGGCGAGACCCUUUCCCCAACACACAAGCACUGUGCGCGCGCACACACACACACACACACACACACACAC